CAUGGGGGAAGCCCAUAACCCCACUAACAGAUAGCUAUUAUAAUUUCCAUUUUACACAACAAGAUGACUACGGUAGCCACUGGCACUUUGGACUAGAUUUUUCUGGUGUUCCUCCCGGAUACCAGGAGCAGUGUUUCAAAUGGUGGCUUGAGUUCUGGAGAGAGGAUGCCACGGAGCAGCGUCCACAGCCUACCACAAGGAUGUGACCUGUGAGCAAAAAAAUGGCUGAGGAAUAGACAUGAAUGAGUAACUUAAUGAAGAACCACCUAGAAAAAUCUAGAAGCCAGCAACAACACCUGAGAUAAUGGAAACCUGUAAAUUGGAGAUUUUCUGCCGGGUGAUGAAAAGCAUCUCUUACUGAAAGUCCUGUUAUACUAUGGAGAAGAAAAAUGACUCAGGCUAAAUCAUUUACACUCUGGGCAUCCCAAGCCACAGCCUUCUCACUGGAAGCUUCCUCUAGACUGAUCCUGAGUGAGCAACAGUCAGUGUCUCCAGAAGAGCCCCAUGUCUCCAUGACACCUGACAUGAAGAAACAACUGGAGUUCAGUGACUUGCAGAAAGCUUACACCAGGCUUCAAAGUCAAGUGUAACAACUCCUCAACCAGCGCUCUUCCCAG